GGCUGUAGCUCAGUGGUAGAGCGCUUGUCUCGCACAUGUGAAGCACUGGGUUCAAUCCUCAGCACCA
rnacentral:tRNA from 1 species